GCAUCGAUGAAGAACGCAGCGAAACGCGAUAUGUAGUGUGAAUUGCAGAAUUCAGUGAAUCAUCGAAUCUUUGAACGCACAUUGCGCCUUCCAGUAUCCUGGGAGGCAUGCCUGUCCGAGCGUCGUUUCAACCCUCGAGCCCCCGUGGCCCGGUGUUGGGGACGCUGCCCAGCUACCUGGGCAGCCCCCCUAAAUGCAGUGGCGGUCCCGCAAGUCCCAGCCCUUUGCGUAGUAAUAUCAUUCUCGCUCUGGACGGCUCGCGGGCUUACCAGCCUCGAAACCCCCUACAAAGACCGCCCCGGCGGCAACGGUUGACCUCCGAUCAGGUAGGAACACCCGCUCAACUUAAGCAUAUCAAUAAUCGGACGAA
rnacentral:rRNA from 1 species